CAAACUUGUACAGUAUUAACAUGAUUGACAUCCUGAGAUAUUUGGAUGAGAUAUGAACACAUAACAAGCCCAUUCUGCACCUAGUUCUCAAAGCAAGCCCAACCUUUGUUAAAGGAAUACUCUAGUGUCAGGAAUGCAAUCAUGUUUCCCUGACACUAUAAUGCUGGAGUGGCUACACUCUUGAUGAUCUCAGCCAAUCCAAUGCUUUCAAAUAGCAUGUGCGGCAAAACACUGUGCCAAUCAGCAUCUCCUCAGAUUAAUUGAAUCAGUGCAUCUCUAUGGAUGAAGUCUAGCUUCUCCAGGCUGAAAAUCAGUGCUGCACAAUGUGCAUCACUGGACUAGGGAGCAUCUCGGGGUGUUCCAAGGCAGCAAUGUAAACACUGCCUUUUAUUUGAAAAGGCAGCAUUUUCAUUGCUCAGCCUGCAGGGACAGGCUGUUGACACCAGAACCACUACAUUAAACUGUGACUAUAAUGAUGUCUCUUUAAGUGAAGCUGCCAUUAGUAAAAUCAGUGCUGAAGGAUGCAUUUCAUUUAAAGUUGUGUUUGAAAAACAAUAUAAAAUGUAUAGACUGGACAUUUUUAU